rnacentral:rRNA from 1 species
UACAGAGGGGGCAAGCGUUAUUCGGAGUUAUUGGGCGUAAAGGGCGCGUAGGCGGCUUGGCAAGUGGAAGGUGAAAUCCCUCGGCUUAACCGAGGAACUGCCCUCCAAACUGCUUCGCUUGAGACCGGGAGAGGUGAGUGGAAUUCCCAGUGUAGCGGUGAAAUGCGUAGAUAUUGGGAGGAACACCAGUGGCGAAGGCGGCUCACUGGACCGGUACUGACGCUGAUGCGCGAAAGCGUGGGGAGCAAACGGG